GGCUUGGUACCUCAGAGGAUAGAGCAUUGCACUGGUAUCACAAUGUCCUGGGUUCGAAUCCCAUGUCAAGCCU